CCUGCCCAGUGACUUCGUGUUCAACGGCCGCGGUAUCCUAACCGUGCAAAGGUAGCGCAAUCAAUUGUCCCAUAAAUCGAGACCUGUAUGAAUGGCUAAACGAGGUCUUAACUGUCUCUUACAGGCAAUCGGUGAAAUUGAUCUCCCUGUGCAAAAGCAGGGAUAAACCCAUAAGACGAGAAGACCCUGUGGAACUUAAAAAUCAACAGCCACCCUAAAACACAUUCAAACCCAUCGGGUACACGAACUUACAAGGAGAUGGCCUGUAUUUUUCGGUUGGGGCGACCUUGGAGAAAAGCAAAUCCUCCAAAAAUUAGACCACCCCUCUAGACCAAGAGCAACCUCUCGACGUGCUAAUAGCACCCAGACCCAAUAUAAUUGAUCAAUGGACCAAGCUACCCCAGGGAUAACAGCGCAAUCUCCUCCGAGAGUCCGUAUCGACGAGGGGGUUUACGACCUCGAUGUUGGAUCAGGACAUCCUAGUGGUGCAGCCGCUACUAAGGGUUC
rnacentral:rRNA from 1 species